AGAGUUUGAUCCUGGCUCAGGAUGAACGCUAGCGGCAGGCCUAAUACAUGCAAGUCGAACGGUAAGUAUUUUAGUAAUAAGAUACGAGAGUGACGUACGGGUGCGUAACACGUAUGCAACCUACCCAAAACAGGAGGAUAGCUCAGGGAAACUUGGAUUAACCCUCCGUAAGAUUGUAGAGUGGCAUCAUUCAGCAAUUAAAACUACGGUGGUUUUGGAUGGGCAUGCGUAUGAUUAGUUAGUUGGUAGUGUAACGGACUACCAAGACGAUGAUCAUUAGGGGACCUGAGAGGGUGAUCCCCCACACUGGCACUGAGAUACGGGCCAGACUCCUACGGGAGGCAGCAGUAGGGAAUAUUGGUCAAUGGGUGAGAGCCUGAACCAGCCAUGCCGCGUGCAGGAAGACGGCCUUCUGGGUUGUAAACUGCUUUUGUCAGGGGGUAAAAGACCCAUGCGUGGGAAAUUGAAAGUACCUGGCGAAUAAGCCACGGCUAACUACGUGCCAGCAGCCGCGGUAAUACGUAGGUGGCAAGCGUUGUCCGGAUUUAUUGGGUUUAAAGGGUGCGUAGGCGGCCCUGUAAGUCAGUGCUGAAAUAUCCCGGCUUAACCGGGAGGGUGGCAUUGAUACUGCGGGGCUUGAGUACAGAUGAGGUAGGCGGAAUUGACGGUGUAGCGGUGAAAUGCAUAGAUAUCGUCAAGA
rnacentral:rRNA from 1 species